rnacentral:rRNA from 1 species
UACGGGGGGGGCAAGCGUUGUUCGGAAUUACUGGGCGUAAAGGGCUCGUAGGUGGCCAACUAAGUCAGACGUGAAAUCCCCAGGCUCAACUUGGGAACUGCGUCUGAUACUGGAUGGCUUGAAUUCGGGAGAGGGAUGCAGAAUUCCAGGUGUAGCGGUGAAAUGCGUAGAUAUCUGGAGGAACACCGGUGGCGAAGGCGACAUCCUGGACCGGCAUUGACGCUGAGGCGCGAAAGCCAGGGGAGCAAACGGG